rnacentral:rRNA from 1 species
CCUACGGGUGGCAGCAGUGAGGAAUAUUGGUCAAUGGACGCAAGUCUGAACCAGCCAAGCCGCGUGCAGGAAGACGGCUCUAUGAGUUGUAAACUGCUUUUGUACGAGGGUAAACGCAGAUACGCGUAUCUGUCUGCAAGUAUCGUACGAAUAAGGAUCGGCUAACUCCGUGCCAGCAGCCGCGGUAAUACGGAGGAUUCAAGCGUUAUCCGGAUUUAUUGGGUUUAAAGGGUGCGUAGGCGGUCGGAUAAGUUAGUGGUGAAAUCCCGAGGCUCAACUGUGGAAUUGCCUCUGAUACUGUUCGGCUAGAGAGUAGUUGCGGUAGGCGGAAUGUAUGGUGUAGCGGUGAAAUGCUUAGAUAUCAUACAGAACACCGAUUGCGAAGGCAGCUUACCAAGCUACUACUGACGUUGAGGCACGAAAGCGUGGGGAGCAAACAGGAUUAGAUACCCCAGUAGUC